rnacentral:rRNA from 1 species
GUGAGGAAUAUUGGACAAUGGGCGCAAGCCUGAUCCAGCCAUGCCGCGUGCAGGAAGACGCAUCUAUGGUGUGUAAACUGCUUUUGUACGGGAAGAAACACUCCCUCGUGAGGGAGCUUGACGGUACCGUAAGAAUAAGGAUCGGCUAACUCCGUGCCAGCAGCCGCGGUAAUACGGAGGAUCCAAGCGUUAUCCGGAAUCAUUGGGUUUAAAGGGUCCGUAGGCGGUUUAAUAAGUCAGUGGUGAAAGCCCAUCGCUCAACGAUGGAACGGCCAUUGAUACUGUUAGACUUGAAUUACAAGGAAGUAACUAGAAUAUGUAGUGUAGCGGUGAAAUGCUUAGAUAUUACAUGGAAUACCAAUUGCGAAGGCAGGUUACUACCUGUGGAUUGACGCUGAUGGACGAAAGCGUGGGGAGCGAACAGGAUUAGAUACCCUAGUAGUCC